GCGAAAGUCCCCUUUCGGGGGAUGAAGUAGAGUGGCGCACGGGUGAGUAACACGUAGGUAAUCUACCUUCGGGUGGGGAAUAACCCAGGGAAACUUGGGCUAACACCGCAUAAUGCAGCGGCACCACAUGGUGACAGUUGUUAAAGCGGGGGAUUUUCGGACCUCGCGCCUGAAGAGGAGCCUGCGGCAGAUUAGCUAGUUGGUAGGGUGACGGCUUACCAAGGCGACGAUCUGUAGCCGGCCUGAGAGGGCGGUCGGCCACACUGACACUGACAUACGGGUCAGACUCCUACGGGAGGCAGCAGUCGGGAAUUUUGGGCAAUGGGCGAAAGCCUGACCCAGCAACGCCGCGUGAAGGAUGAAAUCCCUCGGGAUGUAAACUUCGCAAGAAUAGGAAGAAUUAGUGGGGGCUAAUACUCCCCAUGAUGACGGUACUAUUUGUAAGCUCCGGCUAACUCCGUGCCAGCAGCCGCGGUAAUACGGGGGGAGCAAGCGUUGUUCGGAUUUACUGGGCGUAAAGGGCGCGUAGGCGGUCAGCACAAGUCAGUUGUGAAAUCUCCGGGCUUAACUCGGAAAGGUCAACUGAUACUGUGCGACUAAAGUGCAGAAGGGGCAACUGGAAUUCUCGGUGUAGCGGUGAAAUGCGUAGAUAUCGAGAGGAA
rnacentral:rRNA from 1 species